rnacentral:rRNA from 1 species
AGUGGCGGACGGGUGAGUAACACGUAAGAAUUUGCCUUUAGGAGGGGGACAACAACUGGAAACGGUUGCUAAUACCCCAUAUGCUUUCGAGUAAAAUGGAUUUCCGCCUAAAGAGAAGCUUGCGGCUGAUUAGCUUGUUGGUAGGGUAAUGGCCUACCAAGGCGACGAUCAGUAUCUGGUUUGAGAGGACGAUCAGACACACUGGAACUGAGACACGGUCAGACUCCUACGGGAGGCAGCAGUAGGGAAUUUUCCGCAAUGGGCGAAAGCCUGACGGAGCAAUACCGCGUGAGGGAUGAAUGCCUAUGGGUUGUAAACCUCUUUUUUCAGGGAGGAAUAAAUGACGUGUACCUGAAGAAUAAGCAUCGGCUAACUCCGUGCCAGCAGCCGCGGUAAGACGGAGGAUGCAAGUGUUAUCCGGAAUCACUGGGCAUAAAGCGUCUGUAGGUGGCUUAAUAAGUCAACUGUUAAAUCUUGAAGCUCAACUUCAAAAUCGCAGUCGAAACUAUUAGACUAGAGUAUAGUAGAGGUAAAGGGAAUUUCCAGUGGAGCGGUGAAAUGCGUAGAGAUUGGAAAGAACACCGAUGGCGAAGGCACUUUACUGGGCUAUUACUGACACUCAGAGACGAAAGCUAGGGUAGCAAAUGGGAUUAGAUACCCCAGUAGUCCUAGCCGUAAACAAUGGAUACUAGGUGUUGAA